rnacentral:rRNA from 1 species
UUCAUCAGCCAUAUCACCCUGCGACUCACAACUGGCAACCCACUGAAGUUAAGCCUGGUCAGUACCUGGAUGGGAGACCUCCUGGGAAAAACUAAGGUUGCUGCUGGAA